rnacentral:rRNA from 1 species
GACGAACCGUGCGAACGUUGUUCGGAAUCACUGGGCUUAAAGGGCGCGUAGGCGGACACUCAAGUCGGUGGUGAAAUCCUCCGGCUCAACCGGAGAAGAGCUGUCGAUACUGGGUGUCUCGAGGGGUGUAGGGGUCUGUGGAACUUUGGGUGGAGCGGUGAAAUGCGUAGAGAUCCAAAGGAACGCCGGUGGCGAAAGCGACGGACUGGACACCUUCUGACGCUGAGGCGCGAAAGCCAGGGGAGCAAACGGGAUUAGAUACCCCGGUAGUCCUGGCCCUAAACGAUGGGUACUAGGUUGAAGGCUUACAUGGGCUUUCAGCCGGAGCAAAAGUGUUAAGUACCCCGCCUGGGGAGUAUGGUCGCAAGGCUGAA